AACGAACGCUGGCGGCAUGCCUAACACAUGCAAGUCGAACGAGACCUUCGGGUUUAGUGGCGCACGGGUGCGUAACGCGUGGGAACCUGCCUUUAGGUUUGGAAUAACACAGAGAAAUUUGAGCUAAUACCGGAUGAUGUUUUCGGACCAAAGAUUUAUCGCCUUUAGAUGGGUCCGCGUUGGAAUAGCUAGUUGGUGGGGUAAAGGCCUACCAAGGCGACGAUCCAUAGCUGGUCUGAGAGGAUGAUCAGCCACACUGGGACUGAGACACGGCCCAGACUCCUGCGGGAGGCAGCAGUGGGGAAUAUUGGACAAUGGACGAAAGCCUGAUCCAGCAAUGCCGCGUGAGUGAUGAAGGCCUUAGGGUUGUAAAGCUCUUUUACCCGAGAUGAUAAUGACAGUAUCGGGAGAAUAAGCUCCGGCUAACUCCGUG
rnacentral:rRNA from 1 species